rnacentral:rRNA from 1 species
AUAAUAUUUAAUUUUUGUAUUAUUUUAGGUAAUUGUAGGUUUUAUAUGUAAGGGGUUUUAUAUAAUAAUUUUUCAGUAAAUAUAAUUGAAAAUGCAAGAAAUUGUUAUUUGGUCAUAUAAUUUAAUUCAAACGAAGUUUGUGCCAGCAGUAGCGGUUAUACAAACUUGGAUAAUUUAAAAUAGGGGUUGUUUUAAUAAAAUUUAUAUAGGGGGUUUAUAAUUUUAAUAUAAAGUGAAAUUUUAUUAUUAUUUAGUAUUUUAUUUUUUAUUUAAAAAGUUUUAUCUAUAAACUAGGAUUAGAUACCCUAUUAUAUUAAAUGUAUUUUCUUGCUUGAUUAGUAUUAGUUUGGUUCUUGAAAAUUAAAAGAUUUGACGGUAUAUUAGUCUUUUCAGAGGAAUCUGUUCUAUAAUUGAUUUUACACGUUUAGAAAUACUUGUUUUUUUAGUUUACAUAUCGUCGUAGUACAGAAUUUUUUUUUAGAAUUAUAAUGUUCGAUAUAUUUAUUUGAGUUAAUAGCAGAUCAAGACGUAGCUUAUAAACAAGAAGAAAUGGAUUACAAUAAAUUUAUUUAUACGGAUAGUAUUUUUGAUUUUACUAUGAAGGUGGAUUUGAAAGUAAUUUUAUUUUAAAUUAUUAAAAUGAUUUAGCUCUAAUAUAUGUACAUAUUGUCCGUCACUUUCAUUAUAAAAUGAAAUAAGUCGUAACAAAGUAGAUGUACUGGAAAGUGUAUCUAGAUAGCC